GUGAAUCUGCCAGGACCACCUGGUAAGCCUAAAUACUCCCAGAUGACCGAUAGCGGACAAGUACCGUGAGGGAAAGGUGAAAAGCACCCCGGGAGGGGAGUGAAAUAGAACCUGAAACCGUGUGCCUACAACAAGUUCGAGCCCGUUAAUGGGUGAGAGCGUGCCUUUUGUAGAAUGAACCGGCGAGUUACGUUAUGAUGCGAGGUUAAGUUGAAGAGACGGAGCCGUAGGGAAACCGAGUCUGAAUAGGGCGUCUUAGUAUCAUGAUGUAGACCCGAAACCAUGUGACCUACCCAUGAGCAGGUUGAAGGUGCGGUAAAACGCACUGGAGGACCGAACCAGGGCACGUUAAAAAGUGCUUGGAUGACUUGUGGGUAGCGGAGAAAUUCCAAACGAACUUGGAGAUAGCUGGUUCUCUCCGAAAUAGCUUUAGGGCUAGC
rnacentral:rRNA from 1 species